rnacentral:rRNA from 1 species
AGCAGCCGCGGUAAUUCCAGCUCCAAUAGCGUAUAUUAAAGUUGUUGCAGUUAAAAAGCUCGUAGUUGAAUUUCGGGGUUAGUAGGUUGGUCAUGCCUCUGGUAUGUACUGGUCUCACUGAUUCCUCCUUCCUGAUGAGCCGUAAUGCCAUUAAUUUGGUGUUGCGGGGAAUUUGGACUGUUACUUUGAAAAAAUUAGAGUGUUUAAAGCAAGCUAACGCUUGAAUACAUUAGCAUGGAAUAAUGAAAUAGGACGUUCGAUCCUAUUUUGUUGGUUUCUAGGAUUGACGUA